GACGGGUGAGUAAUACGUAGGAAUCUACCCUCAAGCGGGGGACAACCAAGGGAAACUUUGGCUAAUACCGCAUAAUCUCGAGAGAGCAAAGCUGCUGUAAGGCGGCACUUGAGGAGGAGCCUGCGUCCGAUUAGCUAGUUGGUGAGGUAAGAGCUCACCAAGGCGAUGAUCGGUAACUGGUCUGAGAGGACGACCAGUCACACUGGGACUGAGACACGGCCCAGACUCC
rnacentral:rRNA from 1 species